UUACCAGNNUNNNANGAAAGAAAUCCGCAAGGUGCAGGUGGUGCANGGUUGUCGUCAGCUCGUGUCGUGAGAUGUUGGGUUAAGUCCCGCAACGAGCGCANCCCCGUCUAUGUUGCCAGCAUAUGGGACUCAUGGAGACUGCCGGGGUCAAUCGGAGGAAGGUGGGGAUGACGUCAAAUCAUCAUGCCCCUUAUGCUGGGCUUCACGCAUGCUACAAUGGGGUACAAGGGGCACCGUAAGGGGAGCAAUCCCAAAACCGUCUCAGUUCGGAUUGAGGUCUGCAACUCGACCUCAUGAAGUCGGAGUCGCUAGUAAUCGCAAUCAGCACGUGCGGUGAAUACGUUCCCGGGCCUUGUACACACCGCCCGUCAAGUCACGAAAGUCGGAAACCGAA
rnacentral:rRNA from 1 species